AUACGCACGCUUCCUCGCUCGCGUCGCGCACUAUCCCUCUCCUUCUCUCCCCGUCGCCGCCAUGUACGGAGUAAAAAAAAAGAGAAACUCCCUCUGCUCGUCGUCGUCGGCCUCUCCCUGUGGCUCCCCGUCGGCCGUCGCGGCCCUCUUCCUCACCGCUCCCCAUCGCCCCCCACUUCCUCGUCGCUCCCCACCGCCGCCUUUUCUCUCCACCGCCCCGUUUCCUCUCGAUCCCCUCACACCCCGCGUGCACCAGAAAUCUGGAGGUCAAAGGUGCCAACUUUCUUCGCCGGCGACGAGCUGCUGGGCGACGUAGGUACUGGAUCUGCGAGCGCAGGCGCUCGAUCUGCGUGCCCCGCCCGGGAGACGACACCUCGCGCCCCGUCACGCCCAUCACGGGCGACGGCAUCGGGGCUCUCGUGAUCUCGUCACCGGAGCCGUGCAGCAGGUCAUGGAGCUCGCCCCUCUACUUCCAGACAUACCAUGUCCACAGAGACAUGCCCACCGUGCCCCCCCGCGGUCAUCGACUCCAUUCGCCCAUGGUCUGCCUCAAGGGUGAGGAGGAACAGCCAGAUCCGCACGGGUUCGCUCGUCUCCAAAAGCUCCUUCUCACCCGCUGCGUACGCCGCACCGCCGUCCGCCGGCGAGGCUAGCUGCAGCUUGGCAAGGCCGCGACGCCGGCUCAAGGAACUUGAGGUCGUCCUGUCCAUCUGCUCCAGGACGUGCAGCUCGUCCUCCGUUUGCUUAGAGAAUUGCUUAACGACGAGUUCUGGGAUAUUCGGCAAAGACGUGCCACUGGGGAGGUUUGUAGAGAGGGGGACAACAUACAUAUGAACACAAAGCAGUGGGAAGAUGGCGCCUUCACACGGAGCAGCGGGAAGACUGUCGCCUGCCCCGCCGUGCCACGGCUCCGUGCAUCUGCCUGAUUACAGAUCGUGGGCCAAGUUCUCGGGGAGCAGAACGUUCGCCGGUCUAACAACACCUUCUUCUGCUUCGUCACCAUCACCGUCAUCAAGGGAACCGACGUGAUGCCUUGUGGCAUCUCUACUUUGAGCUGCAAGGAGACCUUGACCCAAAAAGGAAAGAAGUUUGCAUUUUGCAAGGACCUGGGGGACCACCAGCAGGAAGUGCAGGACCUGGGGGACCACCAGCAGGACCUUCCCUAUGAAGAGGCUCGUUCCAAUGUUUUUGCAACCUGAAUGCACAGUAGGAGCUUCCAAGAAGUAUGACAAAGUACAUCCUCAUCUUCAGUGAUGACUCCGUGAGCUCCCUAAAUUGUUAAUAUAACUGAACGUUCAAAACACUGUAUAGCCUUAAUUUCUAAACUGAUACUAAAAUGAUUAGAAGUGCCUACAGCUUUGUGUCCUUUCAUGGCAUGAUUGUUGCUGGUCCAUCAUUGGAGCUACAGGCAUAACCCCUUUUUUCUGUCUCUUUGUAGCAUGCUCCCACUCAUGGCUUAUAUCGUCGUUUCAUUUUGUUUUCAUUUGAGGUGGUGUGGUUACAAAAUAUAGAAUGUGUGGAUGUGCAAUUAGGCCAUGUUGGUUCAGGGAUAUGCGGAAUCAAGAGAAGUUAUUGCCAUCGUGCUUAUUUUUCUUAUAUGUAGACUAGGAUAUUAUAGGGAUACCAGGCCAGUGGCUUUUUCAUAUAUUACUUUCUUUAUUCAAGUUGAGCAAAAUAGCUUCAAGAGAUAGCUAACCUAAUUAUCUGCAAAAGGACAAGUAAGAACACACUUGUAAGUAGCCUGUACAUGUGUAAGUUUUUGUUAUUCAGGUUGAAUAAAAACCUACAUGAGAUAUCUAUCUAAAUUAUUUGCAAAAGGAAAAAUAUAUGCAUCUAGGUAAGUUUGCACCCAUUUGUUUUCUAAUGGUUUAGUGCACAAUGCUCACACAGUUUCAGUCUACUAGCAUUUAGGAUAUGGAACAUUGAGUGUCCAACACUUUACUAUUGCUCCAUAUUUUGUUAGUUUUAACUGAUUUCAAUAAACCAUGGAGGCGUGUGUACUACUCAAAACAGCGAAGAAGGAUUUUCUUUUUCUCAAGACUCAUACUGUCUUUUUUGUUUAUUCAGAUACGGGUUUUCUUAGAUCAGCCACCGGCACAGAUAACGCAAGGAGCAUAUAAUAACGUAAUUAUACUGCUUAACUACAAUAGUACUAAAUAAGUAAAUAUACUUGCAUACAGUGCUAUUGGUUUUAUCAGAAAAACAAUCAGGGUACCUAUUGGUUUUGUAUGGGCUUGCCACAGGAAGUAAUUAGUUAUAGAACACUUUAUCUUUAUAGAUGGGUGUUAUUCUCCGUUUUACCUGUGUCUUCUGAAUGCAUUCUUUUCGAUGGCAACUCUAAUUCUAAUCUACAAACUGCAAUGAGCCUAAAGAAGUGUCCAUAAUAUAUUAUGACAAAUUGACUUUACUACUGCCAUUGAUCGCUACUCAGGUCAUUUUACCCUCCAUAUAUGACUUACACAAACAAGGGUUCAGUUUUACCUAUCUCGUGUGGUCUUGACACUUGAUGUUCUUUGCCUUCAGUAGAUAUUUAUACAUUUUGUUACCUCUAUUGCAUGCAUGGUAAGGAUGGCUUGCGAGUGGUGCCAGGAGCCAAUCCUUAUUGAAACGGAUAGCACUGGGAUUAUCAGGAUGCGAUGCUGGAAAGUAAGAAGCGAGAUAUUUCUGAACUAGGAAAUCUUACCGCUGAGGCUAAAUUAUUAGUGAGCUCUGAUCGCAUUACCAUGUUCUCAGAAUAAUGCUAUCCAUGAAUUGGCAAGGUUUGUAGUUUAAACAGCCAUACUGCAGUAUGGGUAGGGUCUGAGCCAGAAACUAUUUUGGAUGCCCUUUGAAGGGAUUGUAAUUUAAUUAAUACAAUUCCUUUACGCCCGCAGAAAAAAAAGAUGAGGCUGGUAGAAUGAAAACAUUGCAGUGAAGGGAGUAGUGAUUUGAAAAUUUUGAUCAUCAUCUGUUGUAAAAGCAUGGAGGGAAAUGUCUGUUAAGUGCGAGAAUGUACCAUUGUGUAACUGUUGUAUUCUUUUCGUUAUCAUUUUAUUCCUAUCAGUUACCGCAA